UGCAGUCAGGGGGCCCGUAAGGGCAACCGGCGAACGGCAUAGUAACACGUASGUWCWUACCCCAAAGUGGAGGACAGCUCGUCGAAAGACGGGGUAAUACUCCAUAGUCUCGCAAGAGUAAAGUCGUAAGACGCUUUGGGAAUGGCCUGCGGCCUAUCAGGUAGUUGGCGGUGUAAUAGACCACCAAGCCUAUGACGGGUAGGGGGCGUGAGAGCGCGACCCCCAUGAAUGGCACUGCGACACGGGCCAUACUCCUACGGGAGGCUGCAGUCGAGAAUCUUCCGCAAUGGACGAAAGUCUGACGGAGCGACGUUACGUGGAUGAUGAAGCCCUUUGGGGUGUAAAGUCCUUUUAUCUGGGAAGAAGCGCAAGCAGACUGUACCAGAUGAAUAAGGGGGUCCUAAUUCUGUGCCAGCAGGAGCGGUAAUACAGAACCCCCGAGCGUUACCCGGAUUUAUUGGGCGUAAAGGGUCCGUAGGUUGUUUAGUAAGUUGAAAGUUAAAACUCAUCGGCUCAACCUUUGAGGUGCUUUCAAUACUGCUAGACUAGAGGGCGUUAGGGGUUAGCGGAACCGACAGAGUAGGGGUGAAAUCCGUUGAUAUUGUCGGGAACACCAAAAGCGAAGGCAGCUAACUAGGACGACCCUGACACUGAGGGACGAAAGCGUGGGGAGCAAAAAGGAUUAGAUACCCUUGUAGUCCG
rnacentral:rRNA from 1 species